rnacentral:tRNA from 1 species
GAGGGUACAGCUCAAAUGGUAGAGCGUGUGCUUAACAUGUACAAGGUUCUGGGUUCAAUCCCCAGUACCUCCU